CGGCGGAGCAUGUGGCUUAAUUCGAUGCGACGCGAAGAACCUUACCUGGGCUUGACAUGCGGGGUGAAACCGUGGAAACAGCGCAGCCGACAGGUGUGACGAGCGCAACCCCUGUCCUUAGUUGCCAGCGGGACGUCAAGUAUCAUGCCCCUUAUGUCCAGGCUGCAUACAUGCGUGGUACAAGGGCUGCGAUCCCGUAAGGGGGAGCGUCCCAAAAAGCCACGCUCAGUUCGGAUCGAGGUGCAACCCGACCUCGUGAAGUCGGAGUCGCUAGUAAUCGAGAUCAGCACUGCUGCGGUGAAUACGUUCCCGGGCCUUGUACACACCGCCGUCACACCACGAAAGUGGGUAACACCCGAAGCCGGUGGCCCAACCCUUGUGGAGGGAGCCGUCGAAGUGGGAUCCGCGAUUGGGGUGAAGUCGUACAAGGU
rnacentral:rRNA from 1 species